rnacentral:rRNA from 1 species
GACGAACGCUGGCGGCGUGCUUAACACAUGCAAGUCGAGCGGUAAGGCCCUUUCGGGGGUACACGAGCGGCGAACGGGUGAGUAACACGUGGGUGACCUGCCCUCAGCUCUGGGAUAAGCCCGGGAAACUGGGUCUAAUACUGGAUAUGACUCCACGGUGCAUGCCGUGGGGUGGAAAGCCUUGUGCGGCUGAGGAUGGGCCCGCGGCCUAUCAGCUUGUUGGUGGGGUGAUGGCCUACCAAGGCGACGACGGGUAGCCGGCCUGAGAGGGCGACCGGCCACACUGGGACUGAGACACGGCCCAGACUCCUACGGGAGGCAGCAGUGGGGAAUCUUGCGCAAUGGGCGAAAGCCUGACGCAGCGACGCCGCGUGAGGGAUGACGGCCUGGUU